rnacentral:rRNA from 1 species
GGCCCGAGUGGUAACCGUUAUUAUUGGGUCUAAAGGGUCCGUAGCCGGCCAAGUAAGUCUCUUGGGAAAUCUGGCAGCUUAACUGUCAGGCUGCCAAGGGAUACUGCUUGGCUUGGGACCGGGAGAGGUGAGAGGUACCUCAGGGGUAGGGGUGAAAUCUUGUAAUCCUUGAGGGACCGCCAGUGGCGAAGGCGUCUCACCAGAACGGGUCCGACGGCAAGGGACGAAAGCUAGGGGCACGAACCGGAUUAGAUACCCGGGUAGUCCUAGCCGUAAACGAUACUCGUUAGGUGUCAGCCACGGUGCGACCGUGGUUGGUGCCGUAGGGAAGCCGUGAAGCGAGCCACCUGGGAAGUACGGCCGCAAGGCUGAAACUUAAAGGAAUUGGCGGGGGAGCACUACAACGGGUGGAGCCUGCGGUUUAAUUGGAUUCAACGCCGGAAAGCUCACCGGGGGCGACAGCAAUAUGAAGGUCAGGCUGAAGACCUUACCAGAUUCGCUGAGAGGUGGUGCAUGGCCGUCGUCAGUUCGUACUGUGAAGCAUCCUGUUAAGUCAGGCAACGAGCGAGACCCGCGCCCACAGUUGCCAGCAUACCCUCUGGGGUGAUGGGUACACUGUGGGGACCGCCGCUGCUAAAGCGGAGGAAGGAACGGGCAACGGUAGGUCAGUAUGCCCCGAAUCUCCCGGGCUACACGCGGGCUACAAUGGUUGGCACAAUGGGUAUCUACCCCGAAAGGGGAUGGAAAUCUCCUAAAGCCAAUCGUAGUUCGGAUUGAGGGCUGAAACUCGCCCUCAUGAAGCUGGAAUCCGUAGUAAUCGCGUUUCAACAAAACGCGGUGAAUACGUCCCUGCUCCUUGCA